rnacentral:lncRNA from 1 species
GGGACAAUUUUAUUCUCCAAUAUGAAUCCGUAAGAAAAUAUAUGACAAUACAUUUGUGCAAACUGAUAAUGUAAGCUCAUCUCGAAACUUUAUUCUUUUUCUAAGAUUGAUUUACUUGGUGGUGCUAACUUCCAUUCUAUCAAAGCAGGACAUGUGUGCUAUUUCUGAAAAAAGAAGCUUUUCUGUUGGCUGGCAUCCCUGAUGGUGCCUUUAGAUAUUUAGGAAAAGAAAUGGUAUCUCAUAAUUCACUGGAUGUAGACCAGUAGGGUCAAUCACAAAUUGUUGGCUGUAAAUGAAUUUCUGUUUCUAGCUUUCAUAAAAUUUAGACAAGUACUGUUUAACAGUAUGUUGUGGUUGAUGGUGGUCCUAUGUGCUGGUUCAAAUUAUCAUGUUGGAUAAUAUUGUUUUUACUAGCAGUUGUAGGGCUCUUAUUAUUAUUUUCCACAAAUAUCAUCAUGUUUUGCUAUUGAUGUAAUGCUAUAUUCCUUGACUGAAAUCAAACCCUUUAGUUGCUACUGUGGUGCUUUUAUUAUUGUGUGCAUAUAUUCGAUAAUGGCUUCAGUUUCCAUUAAAAUUGUUAACUAGACUCCAGUGAUUGCGGUGGCGUAUUAUUCGGCAAAAAGUAGUUUUAUCGCCUUUUAAUGUUUUCAUUUACAUUCAUGGUCAUAUAUGCUGCUUUGGACGAAACAAAAACUCCGACCGC